AAACGCUUACUGCCACAGUAAACAUGUGUCAUUCUUGUGACAUUUCUUAUACCUCCUAUGAGCAAAGGUACAAAGUAGCGGUCAGACAGACUGCAGACCACAGCAGGUGAGUGUGCUUAGGGGCUGCAGACCACAGCUGGUGAGUGUGCUUAGGGGCUGCAGACCACAGCUGGUGAGUGUGCUUAGGGGCUGCAGACCACAGCUGGUGAGUGUGCUUAGGGGCUGCAGACCACAGCAGGUGAGUGUGCUUAGGGGCUGCAGACCACAGCUGGUGAGUGUGCUUAGGGGCUGCAGACCACAGCAGGUGAGUGUGCUUAGGGGCUGCAGACCAAAGCAGGUGAGUGUGCUUAGGGGCUGCAGACCACAGCAGGUGAGUGUGCUUAGGGGCUGCAGACCACAGCAGGUGAAUGUGCUUAAGGGCUGCCUUAUGCUGCCUGCGGUCAGUGGACGACAGCUUCGCUCGUUUGACAACUUCCCAAGUGUGCA